CACGUAGGGUGCGAGCGUUGUCCGGAAUUAUUGGGCGUAAAGAGCUCGUAGGUGGUUUGGUAAGUCGGAUGUGAAAUCUCCAGGCUCAACCUGGAGGGGUCAUUCGAUACUGCCAUGACUAGAGGUCGGUAGGGGAGUGUGGAAUUCCUGGUGGAGCGGUGAAAUGCGCAGAUAUCAGGAGGAACACCCGUAGCGAAGGCGGCACUCUGGGCCGAUUCUGACACUGAGGAGCGAAAGCGUGGGGAGCGAACAGG
rnacentral:rRNA from 1 species